rnacentral:rRNA from 1 species
GAUGAACGCUGGCGGCGUGCCUAAUACAUGCAAGUCGAGCGAACGGACGAGAAGCUUGCUUUUCUGAUGUUAGCGGCGGACGGGUGAGUAACACGUGGAUAACCUACCUAUAAGACUGGGAUAACUUCGGGAAAACGGAGCUAAUACCGGAUAAUAUUUUGAACAGCAUGGUUAAAAAGUGAAAGACGGUCUUGCUGUCACUUAUAGAUGGAUCCGCGCUGCAUUAGCUAGUUGGUAAGGUAACGGCUUACCAAGGCAACGAUGCAUAGCCGACCUGAGAGGGUGAUCGGCCACACUGGAACUGAGACCCGGUCCAGACUCCUACGGGAGGCAGCAGUAGGGAAUCUUCCGCAAUGGGCGAAAGCCUGACGGAGCAACGCCGCGUGAGUGAUGAAGGUCUUCGGAUCGUAAAACUCUGUUAUUAGGGAAGAACAUAUGUGUAAGUAACUGUGCACAUCUUGACGGUACCUAAUCAGAAAGCCACGGCUAACUACGUG